UCCCAUUGAUCCUGUGGGAGGUUGCUGCUAUUGGGUUUCGACUAAGCCAUGCAAGUCAAGGGGACUCUUCGGAGUUACCGGCAGACUGCUCAGUAACACGUUAAUAAUCUGUCCUUAGAUCUAGAAUAACUUCGGGAAACUGAGGCUAAUACUGGAUAGGAUAAUAAUACUGGAAUGUGUAUUUUCUUAAAGCUUCGGCGUCUAAGGGUGAGUUAGCGGAUGAUUAGGUUGAUGGUGGGGUAAAGGCCCACCAUGCCUUUGAUCAGUAGGGGCCUUGAGAGAGGGAGCCCCGAGAGGGACACUGAGAUACUGGUCCCAGCCCUACGGGGUGCAGCAGGCGCGAAACCUUUACACUGCACGAAAGUGUGAUAAGGGAAACCCGAGUGCUUACACUCUGUGUAGGUUUUUGCUAAGAGUAAAUAUCUUGGCGAAUAAGUGGUGGGAAAGACUGGUGCCAGCCGCCGCGGUAAUACCAGCGCCACGAGUGGGAACCACGUUUAUUGGGCCUAAAGCGUCCGUAGCCGGUUUGUUAAAUUUUUUGUGAAAUCGCAAGGCUUAACUUUGCGGCAUGCAGAAAAGACUGGCAAACUUGGAACCGGGAGGAGUUAGAAGUAUUCAAGGGGUAGCGGUAAAAUGUUCUGAUCCUUUGAAGACUACCUGUGGCGAAGGCGUCUAACUAGAACGGAUUCGACGGUGAGGGACGAAAGCCAGGGGAGCAAAACGGAUUAGAUACCCGAGUAGUCCUGGCCGUAAACUCUGUGAGCUAGGCGUUGCACUUGCUUCGGGCAAGUGCAGUGUCGAAAUGAAGAUGUUAAGCUCACCGCCUGGGAAGUACGGUCGCAAGACUGAAACUUAAAGGAAUUGGCGGGGGCUCACUACAAGGCGUGCGGCGUGCGGUUUAAUCCAAUUCAACGCGGAGAAUCUCACCAGGUGCGACGGCAGGAUGAAAGUCAGAUUAAAGGUCUUACUUGACGAGCCGAGAGGUAGUGCAUGGCCGCCGUCAGCUCGUGCCGCAAGGUGUCUUGUUAAGUCAAGAAACGAGCAAGACCUGUGCUUAUAAUUGCUAACGAUCUUUGAGUUCGAGCACAUUAUAAGGACUGCCUUCGAAAGGAGGAGGAAGGUGCAGGCAACGGUAGGUCUGUAUGCUCCGAAUCUUCUGGGCUACACGCGCGCAACAAUGGUUAAGACAAAGGGCUGCAACUCUGAAAAGAGAAGCUAAUCCCCAAACUUAAUCUAAGUCCAGAUUGAGGAUUGUAACUCAUCCUCAUGACGAUGGAAUGCCUAGUAAUCAGAAGUUAUCAUCUUCUGGUGAACAUGUCCCUGAGCCUUGCACACACCGCCCGUCAUCUCAUCCGAGUAGGGUUUAGAUGAGGCUGUUCUUUUAGGAUGGUCGAAUCUAAGCUUUGUGAGGAGGGGCAAGUCGUCACAAGGUA
rnacentral:rRNA from 1 species